rnacentral:lncRNA from 1 species
GUGAGUCUUUAAAGAUAUAAAUCUCCUACCGUAUUUUUUUUUAAUAAAACUGCUCUAGUGCUCAUGUUUUCACUUGUACAAAACUAGCCCACUUCCAUACAAAUUGAAAAGACCUUGGUGCCGCCUUUGUCUCCAGUGAAAAAUGAGCCCCAUUUGAUGGCUGACCUUCCACACAACUGUAGCUUCCACAGAAAUGCACAGGCUCGGCCACAGCUGCUACCUUGCAAGAAUCAUUACUCCGGUGCUCAGGAGAAAACACGUUCCACUGGUAAGGCCAAGUCGAUGGAACUCUCAAAAAUACAAUAAAGCAAAAUGGAUGCAUAUAAACCGUGAGUGAGGGCUUUGAUUAGAAGCAAAGAUGGGGCUGUCCCUCACUGAAGUCAGGCUGAGUGGUGUCAGCAUUUGAGAAAAUUGGCUGUUAACAUUCUCGAUUAUGGGAGAGACUUAAAAUGGAUUCUUUUCAUGGACUUCUCUCCCAAGAGCCAUGAGUGAAAAUUUCAAAAAUAAUGAAGUUUAUAAAAUAGAAGUCGCUGAGAGUGUAUUUGGUGGUCUGAGCAGAUGAAUUAGCAUCUUGUGUCUACUUGUGGGCUCCUGAGCAUGGUCACCAGGGCAGAGCUGAGGUUCCUGACCAAUCGCUCUUUGUGCUGUGGUCCCACAGAACUGCUUCUCAGCCCCCUCAUCCUUCAGCAUUUCCAAGA